AGUUUGAUCAUGGCUCAAGAAUCAACGCUGGCGGCGUGCCUCAGACAUGCAAGUCGAACGAUUAAGACUUCCUUCGGGAAGUGUAUAAAGUGGCGCACGGGUGAGUAACACGUAAGUAAUCUACCUUCGAGUGGGGAAUAACGUUCGGAAACGAACGCUAAUACCGCAUAAUGCAGCGGCAUCGCAAGAUGACAGUUGUUAAAGGAAUUUAUUUCGCUUGAAGAGGAGCUUGCGGCAGAUUAGCUAGUUGGUAAGGUAACGGCUUACCAAGGCUACGAUCUGUAUCCGGUCUAAGAGGACGGUCGGACACACUGACACUGAAUAACGGGUCGGACUCCUACGGGAGGCAGCAGUCGGGAAUUUUGGGCAAUGGGCGAAAGCCUGACCCAGCAACGCCGCGUGAAGGAUGAAGUAUUUCGGUAUGUAAACUUCGAAAGAAUGGGAAGAAUAAAUGACGGUACCAUUUAUAAGCUCCGGCUAACUACGUG
rnacentral:rRNA from 1 species